ensembl:snoRNA
GUACAUAUGAUGUGGCAAUUCAGUAUGAAUGAAACUGUGAUACUGUAAACGCUUUCUGAUGUA